rnacentral:rRNA from 1 species
GACGAACGCUGGCGGCGCGCUUAACACAUGCAAGUCGAGCGAGAACCAGUCCUUCGGGACUGGGGACAGCGGCGAACGGGUGAGUAACACGUGGGUAAUCUGCCCUCGGCACCGGAAUAGCCCGGGGAAACCCGGAUUAAUGCCGGAUGGCCUCUCUGCCCCUCGGGGCGGCGAGAAAAGGUAGCUUCGGCAUCCGGCCGAGGAUGAGCCCGCGGCCGAUUAGCUUGUUGGUGAGGUACGGCUCACCAAGGCGACGAUCGGUAGCUGGUCUGGUAGGACGAUCAGCCACACUGGGACUGAGACACGGCCCAGACUCCUACGGGAGGCAGCGGUGGGGAAUCUUGCGCAAUGGGCGAAAGCCUGACGCAGCGACGCCGCGUGCGGGAAGAAGGCCUUCGGGUUGUAAACCGCUUUCAGGAGGGACGAAGCCACUCGGGUUAAUAGCCCAGAGGGUGACGGUACCUCCAGAAGAAGCCCCGGCUAACUACGUGCCAGCCGCCGCGGUAAUAC